CACGGGGGGAGCAAGCGUUGUUCGGAAUCACUGGGCGUAAAGGGCGUGUAGGCGGUCAGGUAAGUGAGAUGUGAAAUGCCCCGGCUCACCCGGGGACCGGCAUCUCAUACUGCUUGGCUUGAGUACGGGAGAGGAUGUGGGAAUUCCUGGUGUAGCGGUGAAAUGCGUAGAUAUCAGGAGGAACACCCGUGGCGAAGGCGGCUCUCUGGGACGGUACUGACGCUGAGACGCGAAAGCGUGGGGAGCGAACAGG
rnacentral:rRNA from 1 species